AGUGAACGCUGGCGGUAGGCCUAACACAUGCAAGUCGAACGGCAGCACAGGAGAGCUUGCUCUCUGGGUGGCGAGUGGCGGACGGGUGAGGAAUACAUCGGAAUCUACCUUUUCGUGGGGGAUAACGUAGGGAGACUUACGCUAAUACCGCAUACGACCUUCGGGUGAAAGCAGGGGACCUUCGGGCCUUGCGCGGAUAGAUGAGCCGAUGUCGGAUUAGCUAGUUGGCGGGGUAAAGGCCCACCAAGGCGACGAUCCGUAGCUGGUCUGAGAGGAUGAUCAGCCACACUGGAACUGAGACACGGUCCAGACUCCUACGGGAGGCAGCAGUGGGGAAUAUUGGACAAUGGGCGCAAGCCUGAUCCAGCCAUACCGCGUGGGUGAAGAAGGCCUUCGGGUUGUAAGGCCCUUUUGUUGGGAAAGAAAAGCAGCCAGUUAAUACCUGUUGUUCUGACGGUACCCAAAGAAUAAGCACCGGCUAACUUCGUGCCAGCAGCCGCCGUAA
rnacentral:rRNA from 1 species